AUUGAACGCUGGCGGAAUGCUUUACACAUGCAAGUCGAACGGCAGCACGGGGCAACCUGGUGGCGAGUGGCGAACGGGUGAGUAAUACAUCGGAACGUGCCCAAUCGUGGGGGAUAACGUAGCGAAAGUUACGCUAAUACCGCAUACGAUCUACGGAUGAAAGCGGGGGAUCGCAAGACCUCGCGCGAAUGGAGCGGCCGAUGUCAGAUUAGGUAGUUGGUGGGGUAAAGGCUCACCAAGCCAACGAUCUGUAGCUGGUCUGAGAGGACGACCAGCCACACUGGAACUGAGACACGGUCCAGACUCCUACGGGAGGCAGCAGUGGGGAAUUUUGGACAAUGGGCGCAAGCCUGAUCCAGCCAUUCCGCGUGCAGGAUGAAGGCCUUCGGGUUGUAAACUGCUUUGUACGG
rnacentral:rRNA from 1 species